UACGUAGGGUGCAAGCGUUAAUCGGAAUUACUGGGCGUAAAGCGUGCGCAGGCGGUUAUGCAAGAAAGAGGUGAAAUCCCCGGGGUCAACCUGGGAACUGCCUUUGUGACUGCAAGGCUAGAGUACGGUAGAGGGGGAUGGAAUUCCGCGUGUAGCAGUGAAAUGCGUAGAUAUGCGGAGGAAAACCGAUGGCGAAGGCAAUCCCCUGGACCUGUACUGACGCUCAUGCACGAAAGCGUCGGGAGCAAACAGG
rnacentral:rRNA from 1 species